rnacentral:rRNA from 1 species
GAUGAACGCUAGCGGCAGGCUUAACACAUGCAAGUCGAGGGGUAGAGGUCUUCGGGCUUUGAGACCGGCGCACGGGCGCGUAACGUGUAUGCAAUCUGCCUUGUACAAAGGGAUAGCCCAGAGAAAUUUGGAUUAAUACCUUAUAGUAUACUGAUGUGGCAUCACAUUAAUAUUAAAGAUUAUCGGUACAAGAUGAGCAUGCGUCCCAUUAGCUAGUUGGUAUGGUGACGGCAUACCAAGGCAAUGAUGGGUAGGGGUCCUGAGAGGGAGAUCCCCCACACUGGUACUGAGACACGGACCAGACUCCUACGGGAGGCAGCAGUGAGGAAUAUUGGUCAAUGGGCGCAAGCCUGAACCAGCCAUGCCGCGUGCAGGAUGACGGUCCUAUGGAUUGUAAACUGCUUUUGUACGGGAAGAAACACCUUUACGUGUAGAGGCUUGACGGUACCGUAAGAAUAAGGAUCGGCUAACUCCGUGCCAGCAGCCGCCGUAAAAC